GCACCGCCGCCAGUCGCCGGAAUCCGGAUUUCAACCAAAAUUUCCAGAUUUUCUCCUCUUCCUUCCCUCUUUCCAUUUCUCCAACCAAAAUCAUGAAAUUUAGCCAUUUAAUCCCCCAAAAACCCUAGAACCCGAAGCUAAAAUUGGGGCUUUUGUGAUUUCUUCUUUCCAAGCUCAAAUCAAGGUAUUUUCCAUCCUAAUCUAGCCUAUAUUCCUUCGAUCUAUACAUCUUUCUUCCUAAAUCCGAGUUUUUGAUUUGGGUUUGUGAUUUUGUUUGCAUGAACCCGAUUUCUCCUUGAACCAUCAAGCUAGGCUAUGGGUUUGACAAGGAUUUGUGGUAAGGAUCUAUCCAUGCAACCUUGUUUCGCAAUUUUUGGUUGUGGUAUUGAUGAUGGACGGAUUUGUAGGUGAAGAAGGCCAUGGAGGAAGCUUAGGCCGUGAGUUUUGAAGAAGAAAGGGAAACACGAUCGUUAAGGAAGCUUAAGCGGAAAGCGUCAGAGCGUGGAAUACGCCGGCAUAUCCAGUGUGCAGGUUUCGAGCAUGUGGUCGGGAAGCGUACAGGGGAGGCACAUGGCACAGCUUGGCGCAUUUCUCUUUAGUUUUAUCAAAAGAAGGUUUUGGUCCUCAAUCGGAUUUUGUAGUAACUUAUUUAUUUACUUUUUAUUUAUUUAUUUAUUUCCUACUCGUUUACAAAAAUUCCGGGAGACCCGUAACCCUGGGGCGCGUCUCCCAUACUUGUCGUUACUUACGGAUCAGUUUUAUUUUCCAAAUUGGGCUCCGAUCGCAAGCCCAAAACUCU